GACAGAGUAGGGGCGGCGCGUCAAGUGCCGACGGAUGGGAAGUUGCCGUCGGACGAAAGCGAAAGCAGAUAUGCUGGAACAUUGCUGCGGUGCCGUACCCGCAUCCGCUGCU
rfam:Firmicutes bacterium CAG:238 genomic scaffold, scf251